GAGGGAUUGUUUUUGGUUGGCCCGGUUAGAGUGCGUUAAGUGAGAGCUGGCAAAAUGUUGUCAAAAAGGUUGUCACACUGGAAUCCGAACUCUCAUCUUCCUCCUCGUCAAGCACAGCUUGUUAAAAGUUGGAGGGGAGUAAUAAUUUCACACUGGUCCAUCGCCUUUGUUCUCAGCUGAAAGCAGGGACGGUAAGCAUCUGUAAUGACUGUUGUUUGCAAUUUAGGAAGCUCUGUAAUUGAGGACGCACUUUAACGGAGCUAUCCUCCUCAUUCUUAGCCGCCUUGGUUUCAAUCGGGAAGCUUAGUUGCCGAGCAGAGCACCCGUAGUUAAUGCAACUAAGAGUGGGCAUCCUUAGUGCAAAGUAGCUAUGCAUUUAUGUAAUUAUGUAAUGAUUUAAUUCAUAAACGUGGGAUGUACUGUGCGAUUGGUUUGUGGUUUCCCUGCUUAAAUGUGUUGAAUUACUGCUGUGGGUAAAAAUAGAUUUUAAUAUAUUUAUUCUGGGUGAUAUGUCGUAAAUGUGAUAUUCCGUGUGAAACACUAUUUUGUAACCCAGGGAAGGACAAUACAAAUGGGAAGAAACUUGUGCAGUUGAUUUUAUGCUAUGUGUGUUUAUGGUAUGUUUGUGAUUUGUUUGUGAUGUGAGUGCUUCUGGGUGUAAUUGCCGUUUUUUUCCCUCCUAUUGUAAUUGUAUCAUUAUACUGUACCUCCAAGGUUUAAUGGUUAUUUGUUUCAUUUGUUUUGUUCUUUUCCUUUUUGUUUUCUUUCUUUGAAUGGUCUGACAAACAUUUAUUAUAACAUUGUGCAGCACUUGCCCAAAGCCAGCCUCUAGCUUAGAUUUGGUGUGGGUUCACGUGUUUUGAGCUUGCUGUGUAUAGAGUUUUCCUAUUGUGGGUGCUCUGUUAACAGAGAUUGAGGUAUUUAAUGCACUGUGUUUCUGUGUGACCGCAUUUGUGUGCCUCUGGACAGUAUUAUUUGUCAACCUUCAAUAUUUUAACCAUACCAGUGGUAAUAAUAAAUUGAGAUUGAUUUUUGUAUACCAGUCUUCUCCCUCUUUUUUUGAAUUCUCUAAGACACCUGUUAAAGGGAACUAGGUAAUGCUAAAACUAGAAUAUUAAACAUAAUGUUACACUUAUAUGCUGUAUAUAUGUGAAUAUAUGCUUACAUAUAUGCUUGCAUAUGCGAAUAUAGGCAAAAUUGAGGUGCAUAUAUGUGCAUAUACAGGCCAUAUAGGUCUCCUGUAUUGCUUCUUUAUAUCCACCUAUAAGCCCUAUAUGUACAUACAAGAUAUGUCUCCUAUAUAGCUCAUGGCAGGAUCUGGUGAUUUUGUAGCUCAUAUCUCACUUUGGCAACUGUCAUACAUGAUGCUAGCUCAUAUUUUCUAAAAUCUAGGCAAUAACUAACAAACUAAAAAAAUUAGCAAAAACGUAUGUAUGUGCGAACAUGUGAAAUUGGUAUCACAUGCAAUUGGCAUGUUAUGGAAUUUAACUAUGGCAAAUAAGUGAGAGGAGAUGGGAAGCUAUGUCUACACGUUUUCCUGAAACAUUUAAGGUCAAUUCUUUCUUGAAUAAAGAUAGUGGAAAGGAAGGAAGGAAGGAAGGAAAUUUACAACAAAAUGGUUUGCCGUUUUUUUUAUUUUGUCAAUCAAGCCUUUUUUCCAAUUUCAAGUCACUUCCAGAUUCACAUUACAGCUCAUACACAUCCACACAUUCACCGUUACAUCCAACAAAUGCAAUGCAAAAUGCAAUGUUUUCUAGUUUGUGACGUAAUCCGCAUGCGGCGUAGUUGAUGACGUCAUCCACAUGCGGCGAAAGAUACCUGCUGGGAGAAAAAAUGGCGAUAUCAACAUUGGAGAUCCGCUAUAUCUUACUUGAAUGGAAUGAGGGUGAGGAUAGAGGGGCCUAUACUAUUUUGGCCCUCAACUGUGUUCCGAAUUUUUCAUUUAAAGAUUUUCUUUAAAGGACUGAUAAAAACCGAGAAGCCUGUGGAAUGGCGAAAAGGCAAACCCUGGCUGGUGCACCGAGCCAGAAUUUUUGACGUGGCAAGUAUGUUACACCCUAACUUUAGCUGACGUUAUGUAGUUACAUACCAAAUUAAAUGGGUUUGCUCGUACUUAAAGAAGUGUAAAAUGGAUUUUGCUAGGUACCUGGCUAGCAAUAGCUUAGCUUUCUGGCUCAUGUUAGCUACCUAAUUUGCUAAUGUUAGCGAAGUCCAAUUGGGACUAAUGUUAGAUUUGGUAACGUUAAACAUGAUUAGACAAACGUUUGCAGUAACAUUUCAAUUUUAUUGCAACAGAUUUGAAAAAACUCUCCAAAUUAAACUGUGUGCAAUCGAGAUGGAGGACACACAAGGGCAAACAAAACGUCCUCACAUCCAAAAUCAAAUUACAGUGAGCAACAGGGGCAGACUGGGAAUGCUUCAAAGAAAAGAUUGACAAUAAAAAGGGAGGGGCUUCCAUAAGCACCAGGAGGGUGAGAAGCAGGAGGAGGGUCAUGACAGACUUUCAAAGAACAAGGAAGAGCCAGCGCCGGCCGCCAGGGGGCGACCGUCGAGCCGUCCACCGAGGGCCCAGGGCCACCGCAAGGCAUCGCGAAGGAGAGUAACCCGGCUGGUUGAGGACCGAGCGGCAGCAUGUCGGGGAACCGGACAAUAAUUUUUUUUCCCUCUCUCCUUUCUCUCUUUCUGGUGGCUCCGAGGGCUCCCGUCUCUGGUGUCGUCUCGUCGCUGCAUACCACCCACCCCCCCGAGGGAGGGGGAGGGAGCAUGCACAGUCUCGGGGGUACCCCCCGGCCUGUGAGAGGUGAUGGGGGUAUGUAGUGGAGUAGGCGGGCGUUACCGUGGUUCGAGACCGGUGAGUAAUUGUUAAUGAGCGGCAGCUCUGCGGGCACCGGUCUCGAAUCACGGUGGAGAUCGGGAGUGUAAGGUGGUGAAAAAUGUGAGAAAAGAAGAACCACCAACCACCCACUGGCCCAAUGGCGGAGUCCAAGUGGCAUGGCGAAGGCAUUCGCGCGUUCUGUCUUCACACCGCUCUGGGUUGUUACAGUUAACGUUAUUUUAACAUUGCGUAAUUUAUCUGACUCCAAAAGAUAAAAAAGAAACCUCGAUGAAUUAUAUUGAUUUUCCCGCUUAACUCUAAACCAUAUUCACUCAUCCGAUUCUCAUGUCGCUUAGAGUCUCGCGCCGGCCGUUUAUACGCGGAUCUCACGGUCACAAACUCGCACGUCUUGGUCAUUGCCAGAGGUAAGAGACCAGUAACAUUUAGGUGGCUGCCCCCUGCAACUCACUGCUAAACGUACCUUUUUGGUCAGCCUAGAUUAUUAACACCUAAUCACAAGCAACAAUUAUUUUCAGCCAGAGGUCAUGACCACUCCACAGUGAUAAAUAGACCAAUCUUACCUUCUCUAAUGGAAGCUUUAUAUAAUCAUGCCAUGGUUUCCCAUGUACUCUUAACUGGAAUAAUAUAACUGUAAUCAGAGUUUGAGAUUUACCCUAUUUAGAUUGGUCAGACAACCCAUGUGUUGUUCUAAACGGAUAUUCUCAUUAACAGCCUCUUAGAUCUAAGUACACUUAAACUAAUGCCAAGUUGUUAGCCGGAGCUUUAAAAUUCUCAGCUGGUGUGUUUUCGCCACCUAGACAGGAUUCUAGUCCGUUACUAACCUGAGCGGGGAUUUGCGGUAACAAGGAUGUAACGGGAUACAAUAUAAUUCUUAUACUGAAUACAUAAUAUAAGAACGUGUCUAUAAAUUCAGAAUACUGCGGAACAAUUUCAAACAUGACAAUUUAUUAGUCAGGUAAAUGUUUCUUGCCAAUUACAAUUCAAUAAUUCAGAGAUUUCGAAAACAAAACAUCAAAGCAUCAAAGAUUAGUCUACGAGUCUAAGACGCAUACCUGACAAUAGAAAAAGAUAUGAUCGGAAAAAACACAGAGCUGUGUGUCUGAAGGCACACACACAGCACCGUGGGGUUCAUCAUAGUAAGAAUUCCCCAGAACAUUUUGCCAGCUUCCCUUAAAUACCCAGACCAAAAUACCCUUCCUCAACACAACAACAAUUGACAUUGUAAAGGACUCUGUCCUGGAUCUGUUCAGGCCACAAAUGGGCAUUUGCAUGAAGACACAACCUCAACAGUGAGCAGAAUAUCUUAAAGUCUCAAACCUAUGUUAUGAUCUGCUCUGAUAUUUCAAAUGAUACCAAAUAUGCAUAUGAAGAUUCUUUGUUCAUGUAAGAUACAGUAUUUGUCAAAUCCAGUUCAUGGGUGAGCUUUGAAAUCAGAUGUAAAGGUGUGAGUUGGUAAUCAUCAUUCAUUGUUGUAUGCUGUCUGAGAUGGAGAUGCAAACUCUGUGGGGAGUUCAUUGAAUUGGAUGAAGUUCUGUGUUUCCCGGGAUAUGGUGUCCUUUUGGUAGGGACACCUUUGCACCAGCCUUACAGGAGCAUAUAAGAGAACGAGUGACUGGACCGUCGAGGAGAGAGGACCGGGCCUGAACAUGUUUUAUGGUUGUAUGUAUGUUUUUGUUUUGUGAUUUGUUUUGUUCGCCGGCGGUCGGCUGUGACAGGCCGCAGGCUGUUAUUAUUUAAAUAAAUCUUUUAUUG